UCCCUGGUGGUCCAGUGGUUAGGACUUGGCACUUUGGCGCUUUCACUGCCAUGGCUUGGGUUCAAUCCCCGUUCAGGGAA
rnacentral:tRNA from 1 species